AUGGCUUAGUGGUUAAGAGCAUUUGCUGUUCUUGCAAAGUAUCUGGGUUUAAUUCCCAGU
rnacentral:tRNA from 1 species